GACAGAGGUCCCGAGCGUUAGGCGGAAUCACUGGACUUAAAGCGUGUGUAGGCGGCUCGUUAAGUGUCUUGUGAAAUCCCACGGCUUAACCGUGGAACUGCUUGGCAUACUGGCGGUCUUGAGCAACCUAGGGGCAAGCGGAACAAAUGGUGGAGCGGUGAAAUGCGUAGAUAUCAUUUGGAACGCCAAUGGUGAAAACAGCUUGCUGGGGGUUUGCUGACGCUGAGGCACGAAAGCCAGGGGAGCAAACGGG
rnacentral:rRNA from 1 species